AACCCCAUCGUCUAGCGAUCCAGGACGCUGCCUUCUCAGGGCAGAGAUCGCGGGUUCGCAUCCCGCUGGGGUCA
rnacentral:tRNA from 1 species